GUACGGGCCGUGUCAACCGGACGCAAUAGGGAUGGUGAACAUGGCGAUUUUCCGGUUUCCCGCCAUGGCUAACGCAAUGGCAGACGAGCACCCAACCUGUCCGGUCC
rnacentral:sRNA from 1 species